GGCAGUAUGGUGUAUGGCCACACGCGGGAUUUCCUUGAUUCUUUGUAUUUGCAGCAGUAUAAUCCUGAGGACCCUUGUUCAACUCAAGGUACUGCUC